rnacentral:tRNA from 1 species
GAGGGUAGAGCUCAGUGGUAGAGUGCAUGCUUAGCAUGCAUGAGGUCCUGGGUUCAAUCCCCGGUACUUUCA